rnacentral:pre_miRNA from 15 species
ACCACCAGGCAGACGUGUGACUCCUCCAAGUCUUGGAGUAGGUCAUUGGGUGGAUUCCCUAUUUCGUGACAUGGGCCACUGGAUGGCUCCUCCAUGGCUUGGCGGACGUCAGUGGGCAGCACUUCCAUC